GUAAGAGAUGAUUUUUAUCAGGUGAAGCCUUUUGUCAUCUUGAUAGGCGACCACUGUAACUGUGACUGAAGCUCUGCUGGUUCCUAUAGUUGCUUAACAUGCUUUCCACAAUUCUUUAAGGCCCUUUGCUGUGAUCUAGUGCAUGCACUCUGGAAAAUGUUGGUGGAAUCAGCACCUUGGGGAGGCAGAAGUGGCCACGGUAAACCAGUCUGGAAGAAUAACUUCUUGUUCCUGAACCAGUAAAAUUUCCAGGCUGAAGAUGCUGUUUGCAUUCCUGGCCUGGCUGCCUCCUCCAGCAAGCAGUCAUUCUGUUAUCAGUUCUGUAGCCACAUCUUCAUCUCUGACUCAAAUUCCUCUGCUCCAUCUUUUACGUAUAAGGACCUCUGUGAUGACAUCGGACCUACCAGGAUAAUGGAGGAUAAUCUCUCCAUCUCAAAAUUCUAAGCAAGAGAUGUGGGCAGAUGCACUGUUUGAGCAUCACUUACAGAGACUGAGUGAGGAGACGUUGUUGGAAAGGAGAAAAAGAAGCAGAAGGUGGAAAUUACU
rnacentral:lncRNA from 1 species